rnacentral:rRNA from 1 species
GAUGAACGCUAGCGGCAGGCUUAAUACAUGCAAGUCGUGGGGCAGCAUGAGUGUAGCAAUACAUUUGAUGGCGACCGGCAAACGGGUGCGGAACACGUACACAACCUUCCUUCAAGUGGGGAGUAGCCCAGGGAAACUUGGAUUAAUACCCCGUAAUAUUAUGGAGUGGCAUCACUUUAUAAUUAUAGCUCCGGCGCUUGAUGAUGGGUGUGCGCCUGAUUAGGUAGUUGGCGGGGUAACGGCCCACCAAGCCUUCGAUCAGUAACUGGUGUGAGAGCACGACCAGUCACACGGGCACUGAGACACGGGCCCGACUCCUACGGGAGGCAGCAGUAAGGAAUAUUGGUCAAUGGACGCAAGUCUGAACCAGCCAU